rnacentral:rRNA from 1 species
UACGGAGGGUGCAAGCGUUAUCCGGAUUCACUGGGUUUAAAGGGUGCGUAGGCGGAUUGGUAAGUCCGUGGUGAAAUCUCUAAGCUUAACUUGGAAACUGCCAUGGAUACUAUUAGUCUUGAAUAUUGUGGAGGUUAGCGGAAUAUGUCAUGUAGCGGUGAAAAUGCAUAGAUAUGACAUAGAACACCAAUUGCGAAGGCAGCUGG